GACGAACGCUGGCGGCGCGCUUAACACAUGCAAGUCGAGCGAGAACCAGGGCUUCGGCCCUGGGGACAGCGGCGAACGGGUGAGUAACACGUGGAUAACCUGCCCUCGACACCGGGAUAGCCCGGGGAAACCCGGAUUAAUACCGGAUGGCCCUUCCGGCUUUCGAGCCGGUCGGAAAAGGUAGCUUCGGCCUCCGGCCGAGGAUGGGUCCGCGGCGGACUAGCUUGUUGGUGGGGUAACGGCCUACCAAGGCUCCGAUCCGGAGCUGGUCUGAGAGGACGUUCAGCCACACUGGGACUGAGACACGGCCCAGACUCCUACGGGAGGCAGCAGUGGGGAAUCUUGCGCAAUGGGCGAAAGCCUGACGCAGCGACGCCGCGUGAGGGAGGAAGGCCUUCGGGUUGUGAACCUCUUUCAGGAGGGACGAAGCUACUCGGGUGAAUAGCCCAGAGGGUGACGGUACCUCCAGAAGAAGCCCCGGCUAACUACGUGCCAGCCGCCGCAGUAACAC
rnacentral:rRNA from 1 species